AAUUCGAAGCAACGCGAAGAACCUUACCAGGCCUUGACAUGCAGAGAACUUUCCAGAGAUGGAUUGGUGGCCUUCGGGAACUCUGACACAGGUGCUGCAUGGCUGUCGUCAGCUCGUGUCGUGAGAUGUUGGGUUAAGUCCCGUAACGAGCGCAACCCUUGUCCUUAGUUACCAGCACGUUAUGGUGGGCACUCUAAGGAGACUGCCGGUGCAAACCGGAGGAAAGGUGGGGGUGACGUCAAGUCAUCAUGGCCCUUACGGCCUGGGCUACACACGUGCUACAAUGGUCGGUACAAAGGGUUGCCAAGCCGCGAGGUGGAGCUAAUCCCAUAAAACCGAUCGUAGUCCGGAUCGCAGUCUGCAACUCGACUGCGUGAAGUCGGAAUCGCUAGUAAUCGUGAAUCAGAAUGUCACGGUGAAUACGUUCCCGGGCCUU
rnacentral:rRNA from 1 species